GUAAUCUAGUACCACUGCCAAAUGAGGCAUGCUAAGCUCAGCCUCUAGCUGAGUGACUAAGAAUGGGGCCUCCCCACCUCUCAGCCUCUGGAGGUCAGAAGUCUGAAAUGGUCCAGGUGUCUGCAGAGCUGUGUUCCUUGUGGAGGCUCUAGGAGAGAAUCUGCCUCUUGCCUUUUCCAGCUUCUUAAGGCUUGCGGCAUGUCUUGGAUCGGAGCCACACACUCUGACCUCCGCUUCCAUUAGCACAUUUCCCUCUCUGACGCUGACCCUUCUGCCGCCCUCUUGUAACGACGCUUGUGAUUACAUGGGGCCCACCGGAUAAUCCCGGAUCAUCUCUGAAUCUCAAGAUCCUUAAUCACAUCUGCAAAAUCCUUUUUGCCUUGUAAGAGCUUCUGGGACAGCCACGGAGGUGAGCCAUUCCUGUCUCCCUUCAAGAAAGAACUUGCCAUUCACCCUCAAGGAGGGCAGUUAGCUGACAACUUCUAACAAACAUUCUUUGCCCAGAGGACAUGCUGGGUUGGCCAAGACUUUGUUAGAUCUGCAGCACAGUCUGAGGCUCUCCCAGCCCUUUCCUGCUUCCUCUCCCUCACCGGCCUUGCCACUACCCCCUCUCUCCGCAAUAAACCUCUUGCGG
rnacentral:lncRNA from 10 species